AAUAUCAGGGGUGCUGGGUUUUCCCGGCUGAGAACAGAGAAGUCUGUAACCCUUAUACCUGAUCUGGAUAAUGCCAGCGUAGGAAGC
rnacentral:ncRNA from 1 species